CGGGAGACACACGGCGGGUGCUAACGUCCGUCGUGAAGAGGGAAACAACCCAGACCGCCAGCUAAGGUCCCAAAGUCAUGGUUAAGUGGGAAACGAUGUGGGAAGGCCCAGACAGCCAGGAUGUUGGCUUAGAAGCAGCCAUCAUUUAAAGAAAGCGUAAUAGCUCACUGGUCGAGUCGGCCUGCGCGGAAGAUGUAACGGGGCUAAACCAUGCACCGAAGCUGCGGCAGCGACGCUUAUGCGUUGUUGGGUAGGGGAGCGUUCUGUAAGCCUGCGAAGGUGUGCUGUGAGGCAUGCUGGAGGUAUCAGAAGUGCGAAUGCUGACAUAAGUAACGAUAAAGCGGGUGAAAAGCCCGCUCGCCGGAAGACCAAGGGUUCCUGUCCAACGUUAAUCGGGGCAGGGUGAGUCGACCCCUAAGGCGAGGCCGAAAGGCGUAGUCGAUGGGAAACAGGUUAAUAUUCCUGUACUUGGUGUUACUGCGAAGGGGGGACGGAGAAGGCUAUGUUGGCCGGGCGACGGUUGUCCCGGUUUAAGCGUGUAGGCUGGUUUUCCAGGCAAAUCCGGAAAAUCAAGGCUGAGGCGUGAUGACGAGGCACUACGGUGCUGAAGCAACAAAUGCCCUGCUUCCAGGAAAAGCCUCUAAGCAUCAGGUAACAUCAAAUCGUACCCCAAACCGACACAGGUGGUCAGGUAGAGAAUACCAAGGCGCUUGAGAGAACUCGGGUGAAGGAACUAGGCAAAAUGGUGCCGUAACUUCGGGAGAAGGCACGC
rnacentral:rRNA from 1 species